rnacentral:rRNA from 1 species
AUCCGGUAUGCCCUUCACUGGGUGUGCCGGGGAACCAGGACUUUUACUUUGAAAAAAUUAGAGUGUUUAAAGCAGGCCUAUGCUUGAAUACAUUAGCAUGGAAUAAUAGAAUAGGACCUCGGUUCUAUUUUGUUGGUUUCUAGGACCGAAGUAAUGAUUAAUAGGGAUGGUUGGGGGCAUUAGUAUUUAGUAGCUAGAGGUGAAAUUCUUGGAUUUAUGAAAGACUAACUUCUGCGAAAGCAUUUGCCAAGGAUGUUUUCAUUAAUCAAGAACGAAAGUUAGGGGAUCGAAGACGAUCAGAUACCGUCGUAGUCUUAACCAUAAACUAUGCCGACUAGGGAUCGGACGAUGUUAAUUUACUGACUCGUUCGGCACCUUAUGAGAAAUCAAAGUUUUUGGGUUCCGGGGGGAGUAUGGUCGCAAGGCUGAAACUUAAAGGAAUUGACGGAAGGGCACCACCAGGAGUGGAGCCUGCGGCUUAAUUUGACUCAACACGGGGAAACUCACCAGGUCCAGACAUAGUAAGGAUUGACAGAUUGAGAGCUCUUUCUUGAUUCUAUGGGUGGUGGUGCAUGGCCGUUCUUAGUUGGUGGAGUGAUUUGUCUGCUUAAUUGCGUUAACGAACGAGACCUUAACCUGCUAAAUAGUUAUGCCAACUUUUGUUGGUAGUCAACUUCUUAGAGGGACUGUCGGCGAUUAGCCGACGAAGUUUUAGGCAAUACAGGUCUGUUAUGCCCUU